rnacentral:sRNA from 1 species
AGUUGCUCAUUCAAUUGCUUAUGUAGGUCCAAGCUUGGGGAAACCCAGCAAAUGGGAACAUACCACAUAAAACCCGAAUGAUGCCAAAGUAAGGUGCCUACCGUCCAAAUCAUCGAUAUUCGCUUUCGAGCUUUAUCAAACACAGGGCGACACGUGGAGUGAGGCACCACCU